rnacentral:rRNA from 1 species
ACUCCUACGGGAGGCAGCAGUGGGGAAUCUUGGACAAUGGGGGAAACCCUGAUCCAGCAAUGCCGCGUGUGGGAUGAAGGCCCUCGGGUUGUAAACCACUUUUGGCAGGAAAGAAAUCGCCUGUGCUAAUACCAUGGGCGGAUGACGGUACCUGCAGAAUAAGCACCGGCUAACUACGUGCCAGCAGCCGCGGUAAUAC